rnacentral:rRNA from 1 species
GACGAACGCUGGCGGCGUGCUUAACACAUGCAAGUCGAACGGAAAGGCCCUGCUUUUGUGGGGUGCUCGAGUGGCGAACGGGUGAGUAACACGUGAGUAACCUGCCCUUGACUUUGGGAGAACUCCAGGAAAAUGGGGCUAAUACCGGAUAGGAGCUCUUGCUGCACGGGGGGGGUUGGAAAGUUUCGGCGGUUGGGGAUGGACUCGCGGCUUACCAGCUGGUUGGGGGGGUAGUGGCUUACCAAGGCUUUGACGGGUAGCCGGCCUGAGAGGGUGACCGGCCUCCUUGGGCCUGAGAUACGGCCCAGACUCCUACGGGAGGCAGCAGUGGGGAAUAUUGCACAGUGGGCGGAAGCCUGAUGCGGCAACGCCGCGUGCGGGAUGACGGCCUUCGGGUUGUAAACCGCUUUCGCCUGUGACGAAGCGUGAGUGACGGUAAUGGGUAAAGAAGCACCGGCUAACUACGUG